AGGUUUUUCAGGCAGAAGUGCUGUUGGGAUUGUGCUCCAUCAGCUCACACUGGGAAAUGUCUGGUCCACGGCCCUGAGAUUUGCUGGUGGCUUCCCAUCCAACCGUCAGGUCUGCCGAGGUUUUCAGAGGUCUGUCAAGAUUGGAGAGGCGCUGCCACCUGCUACGGUUGACUGGGGCAGCAGGAUACACAUAACUGGAUAUGCUGACUAGCAAGCACUGAAGUCAACUAAAGAGCAACUCGGAUGGACUGCUUGUGUCAAAGAAAGAUUGCCAACUGUAAAAUAUGGACGUAAUUUUAUAACAUUAUUUUAUAAUUAAAGUAAUAAGUGAGGUUUCCUGCUGUUGUUUAAAGAUGUGUCAUGAUACAUUUAAAUCAUAGAUAAAACCGUAGGAAAACGCUACUAAGUAACAUGUUGGCAGCGAUGAUGGUACAGAGGGGAAAGAGCAGGCGAAGGACACGUGCAAACAAUUUCGUGGGACUAGUUCUGUUUACGGCAUGUAGGUUCUGUUUUAGGAACUCUGACCACUCAGAAAGUAUUUUCAUUCAUGCCAGAAUGAGGUUUUGCUUGUUUGUUAUUGAACAUGUAUAUGGAGAGACUAUUGUUUUUACUGGCAAAGAAAUGUAGUAUGUUGGUUUUG